ensembl:lncRNA novel transcript
GUGGAGGGCCUUCUGGAGGACAGCAGCAUGGAAUACCACCUCAAAAAGAACACACAGAGAACCAUCCCUGCCAUCGCUCCCUUCUUCUCGUCUCCUCCCAGUGUCUCCCACCCCAGAGAAGCUUAAGACCCUGAGGAAGGGAGGCGUGGAGGUGACAAAGCAGACCUCCCCGCCACUGCCGACAGCAGGAAUUGUCUGGAAUUUUUGUGGAAUCAUGAGAAAAUUUGAACACAAAUAUCUCCCGUGGACUAACUGAGCAAGAACUCAUUUAUCACCAAGGGGAUGGUGCCAAGCCAUUCAUGAGGGAUCUGCGCCUGUGAUCCGAACACCUUCCACUAGGCUCCACUUCCAACACUGGGAAUCACAUUUCAACAUGAGAGUUGGAGUUGACAAAUGUCCAAACCAUGUCUCCAUCCAACCAUCUAUACAGAUCUUGGAUUCAAGAAGCCUUAUGCCUCUUGGCUAAAAAGAGUUUGAAAAUCCUGACUCGGCCCAUUGUGUUACUUUAAAGAUCUGCGUGCCUGGGGCCUUGGGCUUGAUGAAGCUGAGAGAAACGGGAAAGCAAGCUUUGCUGUUACUGUGUGAGCUUUGGGAUCCCACAUGACAACAAGCAGGUGUAUAGCUAAUAAUGGCUAACAGGAAACCUCUAAGACUUUAGAACUCCUGCUACCAACAUUCUGCUGAUUACCUCCACCAGGACAAUCAGGUCAAAGCCAAUAAAAUUUAGCUCCUAUUAAUUGAGGACUACUCUGACAUUUCAAUGGAAAGAUUUUAGAUUCCCUGUAUCUUUUCUUGCUCCAAAUCCCAAAUCC